AACUUCAACUUUCUGGUAUAAAUAGGGCACUUCAAUAGUGGGAAAGACACAGCACAACAGUUUCGAUUACGUAGAGAAACGGUCAGAGAAUAAAGUCGUCGAACACUAUUCCAAAUCUUCAAUCAACAUGCCUAACGUCUGUUGCCAAAACAAUUGCUCAUGCGGAAACGGCUGCACUUGCUGUCAAAGCAAAUGCACAUGCGGUAGCGGAUGCAAGUGCGGACCGAACGGAGCGCCAUGCCAAAAUUCCGCUUGCAUUUGUGCCACUGGAGGUGGCGGAUGCGGAAGCGACUGCCGCUGCCCCGUGAGCUGUGGAUGCAAGACGUCCUGUUGCAAAUGAGCAACUGUUAAAUGAGAUCCAAUUACCCUCAUUUGCUUGUUUUGAUUUUUCAUUUUAAAAGCAUAUUUUACCUAAUCCAAAUUUCCUAAGGUCUAUUGGGGAUAAAAAUAUACUAUUCUUGCUAA